GAGCACAAAGUCUGAGGCCUUGUCAAAUACCCAGUAUUAACUUUGGAUACUGACCCAGAAGUGGAGCAUUGCAGAGGUAAGAGCAUGGGCAGGAGAAAAUCAGUAAGAUGUUUCCUGUAAAAGCCUUUUGCCAGACAAGAGGAAUCAUUACCACGAUGAUACUUCUAAUUAUAAUGUCAUUAGGGCACCACUGCAGGUUCCUAUGGCGCAUGAAGUUUUUCAGCAUCUUGAUCCAAAAUGGGCAAAAUGUAGGCAUUAACCCUUUCACUGGAAGUAGACUUGAAUAUCUAGGCAAGCUGAAAGAACACAACUUAUUUUGAAGUUAAGUCAUAGUAUUGCUGAGAGUUCUGGAAAAUUUAGCAGUUGUAAAGAAUACUGAAGAGUAAUUCCCCUGAUCCUUCUGCAUUCAUGCCAGAUGUCACAGAUGGACAAUUGAUGAUAUGUGUUUCUCAAGACACCAAAAAGGUAAAGAUAAUGUACUUUGUUGCUGAUCUAAUUUUUGUCUGACUGGAAAACAGGACGCGAAGUUUCUGGCACAAAGUUGUUGCCCAAACCUUUGAAGAAUAGCCAAGAGCAGAUAACAAACAGGCCUACAGACAAUAUUGCUCAAAGUCACAUUCAACUCCUUAAGCAGCUGUUCAAUCUGUGAAGUGAAAAAUUCUUCUAUUUUUGUGUAAUUUUCAAACUGCUGAUGAUACUAUAACAUAUUCUCUCGGCUUUUCUCUUUGUUUAGGCAGCCUGGAUUUAUACCUUCAAAUCUUGGCUCUAGGAUGGUUCCAAAAGCACAAUCAUGCAUGCAGAUACCACCAAACGUGUCAAAAAUGUUAUGCUAUUAAAUGCUAUGAUAAAACCUUCUACUUAGUGCUACAGUGCUUCUAGAAUUUGUCUUACAGGUCCAAGUUGAUCUUGCCUGUAACUGACCUGUAAAGGAACAUUUCCUGGCUUUGCACAGUGCUGACACUGUGUUCGUGUUGCUCUGGACUGAGUCUAGCUCCUGGUUUGCUCUUCAGGAGUCAGACAGUUAAACCACAAGCCAACUCUGCCACUCUGGAACAAAAUAACAUCCUCUUCAGUGUUUCAGGAUUUACAGAAUGUUAAAUGGGCACAGCGUUCCCCCAGAAUCCCAACCCAGUAGGGUGUUCCCAGGCAGGGGCUACUCCAAGCUUAGGCGUGCAUAGGAGAUCCCAGAUUAGAAGCCUACUGCCAGAGAUACCUUGAGGAAGGGGAUUUUGAGCACUGCGUUAUGCCUUAUGCAGACAGCGUGAAUGAUGGGAUGUCCAGUUUUCCAAUGGACAAAAUUGCACAGGGCAGGUUGAUCAGAGUAACAGAUACCAUGACAACCAAAUAUGUUCAAAGCAAAAGGACAAAAGACAAGAGAGGAAUUUUAAAGGGGGAGGAGGCAGCAAUAACAUUAUUAAUAUAUCCCUGUGUUCUGAAGGAGUGGCUUUUUUUGUGAAACUCAGCAAGUUGUGACCCUGAGCAGUGCCACUGCCGUAGCGCAAUCUGCGUGGUACAAAGUUGGGAUGUGGCAUGAAGAUUUUGUGAAUUCCAGAAGCUCCUCUUUGAUGACUAAGUAGUUAUUAGCUCUUUGAGACUGAGUACCAUUUGGGUAAUUGGCAAGUGGACUGUGACCUGAAGGACUGAUAAACUGGAGGGAAAUCAUUCAAAAUUCUUUUCAGUUUUCCUCCAUACUGCUUUUGUUUCAUGUUCAGACAACUCAAUCUAAAACAUGAAACGUUAUUUUCAGAAGAGCAAUCAUAAUUGGCAUAAUUUGAAGAAAAAAAAAACUAGUAGCACUUGCUAAUAUGGGCAGAAUUCAAUUAAUAAAACACCACAUACUGUGGCUGGUUUGUUUCUAAAAUACACUUAUGUAAUUUAAAAGACAAAUGUGUUGUCUGUGGUGGUCAUUAUUUUAAAGACAGCAGGGUUUAUCCCUUACAUCCCAUUUUUUAAUCUGUGGUUUUAUUGACACUUUGAAAGCUAACAGCCUAGCAGGUUGUUCCUAGGUAGGAAUUCUACCCAAAAGAACAGUUUGUAGAACUGUACUCAUUUAACUGACAUUACAAAGUUGUCCUGCACAUGCAAAAAAAGAACUUUUCACAUGAUGUGAGAAAGACUCUACACCUGUGAUAACGAAGAACACUUCCCAUUAGCAAUGUAAGUAUGUAGAUUUGUCGUUACUUAUUCAGAAAUCAGCCUGCAGGCCCAAGAUGACCUGCUCUUCACCUCACCAAUCCCGCUCCUGCUGCAUCUCACAUGAGGUAGGUGCACUUCUAUUUCAACCCUAAAAGUGGGACUGUUCAUCUUUCUGAAUCAGCUACAUGGGCUGAGUCCUUCUCUUCCACUGCACCAAAUCCUUGCAGGGACGUGUUUUCAGGUGAGCUUUAUUAUUCAGUGUGCACCUUUAUAAGGUUCUGGAAGGCAAAGCUCUCAGGCCACCUUACUCGUUUUUGCAUAGUACCAAAGAGUGUUUUUUGAAAGCCUUUUAGGAUCAGCUUUUUUCUUGGAGUGGUGUCAAUCAUCAAGAAUUUUUAAAUAUUUUACCUAACCAACUACUACUUAUUCCUUUUGAAAGAAAAGCAAAUGAUUACAUGCAGCCCUGGCCAUUUUGCACUCACAUAUCCCUACCUUAUCUCUGCUCCAUAAAGCACCCAGAAGAUGUGUGUGGGCUCCGGUCUGCUCCUCACUUUCACUGCCCACUGAGGGACUUCAAGCAUGAAAGAGCUGUCCUGGUGCACACCCACCUCCGGACAUGGAGAGGAAAUCCCAAGUGAGUACUUUAGGAUAAGUACCCUGAGAUGGUCUUUGGUUGGCUUUGGUUUUCAUACAUUUGUGACAUGAAAUCACCUAAAAACGUAACUUUGCAGUUUAGAUAGAUCUUUGAUGGAAAAAAUGUUUCAGUUAACCUCAUGUAUAAUAAUGGGUAAUUACCUCAGUUCAUAUCUCCUGGAAAUCCCUUUUUAAUACUUUUUUUAUUAUUAUUAUUGUUUUGGGCUACAAAGCAAUUUGCAUGAUGUUUUUUCUCCUUCCCUAGCUAUCUCUCCCUCUCACCACUGCUCACCUUUAUAAACUGAUUUCUGCCUUCUUCCUGGGCUACAAAAUGACAGCGCUUACUAUCUGUCCAGUCGUCUGUUCCUGUUUAGCCAGUAAGUGGAACAUUUCCUAUGACUUUCUUCAGAUAAUGAUCCUCUUUUUCCACAUCUAGGGGGCCUCUAUUGUAUAUAAUCUCUGCAAGAUAAGAGCUUAAUAAAUAACUCUUUUUUAUAGUAUUUUUUUUUUAAUUCUGUACGUCUAGAACACCUGCUCUGCUGCUGCUUGUAGAUUUUUAGGUAAUUUGACUUUAAUUUUUAUAUAAAGAAGAGAUAUGAAACUUCCUCCUGACAUAAUUAGAAAACUAAAAUGUAAGUUUGCUCGCUGAAAACUAUAUCUUGGAGUUCUUUUGCAAUACAAGUUAAUUAACUGGAUUUAGAUAUUUGCAAGACGAUAUAUUUAAUGGGAUUACUGCUCAUAUAAUGUUCUCAGUGACUGAUUUGGAAUCUAAGCUCAGGGAACAGAAUACCGAAUUUCCAGCUCUUUGAGAGUUAAUGUUGUGUUAAGGAAAAGUACAAUUUGAACCUCAUUGUUCAUGAAUAGCGAAGUUAUUCCGGUGAAAUGGAGCCGGUGCCUACAAGGGCUACACGAGGCAGAUGCAUGAGCGGGAGCGCAGACAGCGUCAUUCCUGCGAGUGCUCGGCUACAGAUAUCCCCGCACCUGAACUCCUGGCAAGUUCAAGGCAAUUGCGUAUCUCAUCACAACAUAAUGGCCCUUUAUUCAGCCCCCGUCUCCCAAGUGGGAUCAAUUAGAUGCUUUGGUCUGCAGGCUUGAGAAUAAACAUUUGUGUUUUCGUUUAUAUUUAGAGUGAAAAUGAAGACGCGUGGCCACAGCCGUUCUGCCCGCAUCCGUCGUGUUUUGAAACAAAGGUUUAAUCAGCUCUUUCAAAAUAUUGAUUGCCUUUUUAAUAGGAAAAGGUAGAAAGUUAAAUGACAGCAAGCUCUGGGGAAAAAUGCAAUAGCCCUGCACAGAACAUUUCAGUGCGCCAAUAAAUCUCGCAUUAGCGUCUAUCUUCUCAUUAAGGCAAAUAUAUUUCUAUGUGUCAAUUUGGUUCACUACAAUGUUAGAGUUUCACUCCUAACACAGGAUUUCUCUAAUGAAUAUGGUAAUUUAAAUCUUAUGAUCAGAGUACUACUUUUAUAGAAAUUUGAACAUUUUUUGUUUAAAUGCUAUUAACCGUUUCAAUAUUAGCUCAGUCAAAUAGCUAUUAGAUGGGGAAAUUUAUAUUCUCACUAUAAGGAAUGGAUGUGUAAUUCUACAGUGCUUCUACAUUCUAACACUUUUUUAAAGUACUUGACAAGUAGAAUGGUGAUUCGUGUUUAACGUGUUCGAUUUUAAAAUUUAACCAGCAUUCCAAAGCUCUGGUGAGUUCAAAUGCCUUAACAUUUUUAUUUAUGAUUGUAAUUUUAUUUUUAAGCAUUGAUAAAGUGAAGUCUUAAAAAUCUAACUGGAUAAGAACAUUUAGAUGACAGUGGUUCACCAGGACACAAGUGGGAAAGGGAAAGAAAAUCCCAUGGAGAGAAGGAAACUCUUAUAUACCUGCAUGCAUCUUCCUAAGAUAUGACACAAAAUACUACUGAAGUGAUACUUGCCUUGUUUUGAUCUUGAUUUGGGGGGGAGGUUGUUUGGUUUUGAAUGACCUGUCAAACUGAGAGUUGUGCCAAGGCAACCUUGGCAUCUGAUGUUUUACAUGGCUGCUACGUUACAAGUAUUCCAUUCCAAGUAUUUUAGUCCUUGAAUAAAUUGCUCUUAUUAAGCUAAUUUUGGAUCCAUUCUGUUUAUGAAUGCAUAAAAAUAUUCCUGACUGUUUUCCAGGCUUUUCAAGACAACUAUGAGAUGUACCCUAUGAUGUGAGCAAUCACUAAACAGACUACAACAGAUUAAUAGUUCACAGAAACCUCUUAAAACAUCCUAAGCUCAUAAAUUUGUAAAGAGUUUGUGAUCUUGAGUUAUUAUAUUCUAUGAUUUUCCAUCAAAGGAAUUUGAAUCGUGCCUUUAUAUUCCUGUCCUGUAGCAAAAUAUGCUUGUUUCCAGCCAGGGCUUUCACUGAUGUAAACCCAGAUACUGGUGUUCCUGGAUUGAACAGCAAUGCAACCCUACGAGGGGGAAUUCCAUAGCUGAGAGAGAGCUUUUUUUUCUCAGUAUGUGUCAUGGAAAAGAAAAACACGAUCAUUUAACAACUUUCUUCCAAGCAUGAGCGCGUCUUUGAGCUUACAAAGUCAGGUUUUUGUGAUGAAGAGCUUUCAUUCAUAGGUAUUUCUUUAAAAAAAAAAAAAUACAACCAAUUGUGGAACUAGCAAGAUGAUGGUUAUGAGUGCACAGCAAUAUCCCAUGUCCAGGAACUGCAUCUGCAGCAUCAGAGUGCAGGAUGAAGAGCAUUUCAGGAAGGUAGGAUUCAAUGAACCCACGGCAGUUUGUCAGGAACUCUACAACAAGUAGUCCCAGUGCUUUUCUUUCAUAUUGAAUACAUGGAAUUAGUGCUCUUAGUGCACACAGAGAGCAGGAAGAUAACAAACUACUGCUUGGACAAAGCAGAUUUGACCUACAUAUAGGAGUGGACGCAGCCAAGGGUGGAGCUUCUGAUUGAAUGGUGUUAGCAUCAGUUGUGGUUGGGAAUUUUGCAAACAGUUACAACAGCAGUGAAGAACUUAUUACAAAUAAGUCCCGUAAGUCUGGAUAUUCUGCUGUUCACGAGGAAUAUAAAAUGAGUGCAGACUGGUGGAACUUAGAUGAAACCAUGCCUAAGACAUAAGAACACACCGUCUGUCAGAACGGAAGUACUUUACAAGUCAAGCGUUGCCAGCCAGAACAUCUGAAAAUGUUUUGACAGUAUCAGAAUGUAUCUUUUGGAAUGAACUGAUAAUGCUGUUUUGUCUUCCAAUCCAACUUUUUUUUUCUCUCAGCUUUCUGUUUUACUGAAAGAAUAAGUGGAACUGAAGCUAAGGGUGGCAGAACAUGUGUGUAAAUUAGAUUAAUUUUUCUCCUAGUUGCAGAAAGCAGAAUAGUUUCUAGUUUAUCUUGACAGAUGCAUUUCACAACUAUCUUCUAUCUUAUGCCUUCAAUCCAGAGAGAGGUGAGAAAAAUACAGUGCUGUCCUAUUGAAAAGGCAAUAUCUAAAACUACUCAGCAGUUUGUUGCUGCAUUAGUCCAAGAAUAAUUUAAUUCUGUACUAACAGCAAUUUAGAAAGCACGAAAAUGAAGCUAGAACAUUUCUAAACUAAUUGUUUGCUACACACGUUGAUUAACAGUGCUCUGCAGGAAUUAAUUGAUCCAAGGGCAGGAUCUGGCACUACGGCAGCAACGCUCUUCUUGCAGUGCUCAUAUGAGGUGACUGCACUCACAGCUCCUCAGACUGUGCUACGAAUUGUUUUUCAAACACAUCAUCUGUCCUUGCAGAGAGCCGCUGGAGAUCCUCAGACCAGGCCUGAGCACAGCUAGGUAUUGGCUGUUUCAAUUACAGCUCAAAUACAUCACGCAGAUGGAGGAGUGCACUGGGCAUGCAUUUGGCAUCCCAGGGCAGAUGGCUUUUCCCAAAAUGAGAGCCUGUGGAAAGCUGUUUUCAUCUUCCCAAGCUUCUGGCCUGAUGGACUUCAGCACAAAUGCGUUUCCAAAUAAUGAAUCUGCAGUUCACUUUCUGGCCGAGGUGAACGAGCACACGUUAACUCAUUCAGAAAGGAGAUGAAAAGCUCACAUUCAGGAUGCAUUAAUCUGAAAACAAGUGUACUUUUGUGUCUGGGGAGUAUUAUUUUCAUUGCCAUCAAUUUAGAACAUAGAUAGACUGUGAUUCUAGCUUCACUAUCAGGUUGCCCCACAGGCUGAGACCCCUCACCAGGCCAUUCUAUUUAAUUUAGACUAAUCUAAAGCUGAGUGAAACUUUGUACCCUCUCUGAUUUCUCCCUAUAAUCAGGAACACUCUGAUUUCCCCUUCCCCCAUGACCCAGUCUGAGUGGCUGGGAGAUGGGGGAGAGGUACUCAGGAAAGCGACCUCCAGGUAAAGGCAGCAGCUAUUUGUGCCAGCCUGUCUGCUUGCCUAAUAACAGGUGGCAAACAUGUCCAACCAUAUCAUCCCUAGCUCUUGUUCUGUUUGAAUUUCUCUUUACUUUACACACAAUUCUUGGGAAGGCGUAAUCCUUUACACUUUUGCAUGUGAGUUUUUCAAGGCAUUGCACAUGUCAGCGGAGAUAAAUCUCCCAUGGAAGAGGCUGAAAUCCUAAUGCUGUUCUUCCACCAUUAUGCUCCUAGGUUUGGGUGGAAUUUGAUGGGGCAGAGGUUGUGCCCUAUAGUUUUAAUGUUGGGGUGUUUUUGGUCAGUGUUGUUUUGUCUGUGUUUAGAGGCAUCAAUAUGCACAAGAGAAUCUGUUUUGGACAGUAUCCAAGGUCAAAAAGAAUUCAGCAGCUUUGGCAAAAUGUUCCCUUCUGUCUGUGGUUUACAGAUUCAUCCAUAUGUGAGAUCUUAAAGAAGUAUCUUUCACUCUCUGUUGCUAUCAUCUCUGAUAAUUAGACUUGGCUUUGCUGCUUUCUCUCUCUCCCCGUCUUUCUUUUGUUUUAAACACCACAUGACUGCUUUCAGUGGAUAAGGCAAGUGGAGAAGAAAAGGAUCCAGUAGUGGCCCUCAACUGGCAGGCACUCAGCAAGCAAAUCAGCAGGUUCCCCUGCUAAAGAACCAUGCUGACAUCUAGUUAAUGUUCUUAUUUGCUAAAGUAAUGAGACUCAACCUGCCUGUGACUCUCAAUCUUUUACAAACCAAAAUUUGUAGUCUUUGCUCAUAGGCAAGAAAAAAAAAUGAUCUGCAGUAGCCCCAAGUUUAAAUCAGCAAAUUUGUUUCGUAAACAGCAGAAGUACCCGGGGUGCAGUUCUCCGGGGGGAGCUCAGGUGCGAUGGGCUCUUCCAGUCCUCUCCUCUUCUGGCAGUUGUUAAGUUUGUCGCAUACCUAAAUAUGCCAAGUGUAACCCACAGCAGGAGGGGGUUGUCAGAGGACAAAUAUAAUUUUUAUUCUCCUCUCUGAUGUAACUGUGGGUCAGUCAUCUCGUGGUCCUCACAGAUGAUUGGUUCACUGGUAUUAUUUAUCUCAUUUUGGUCCAACAACAGAGACCAUAGACACUCAUAACUUCCCCUUGAAGCAACCAUUCUACUAAUUAAAAUGAAAAGCGCCUGAUUCUGUUUCUCCUAAAAAUAUAAUUCUUUUUCUGAUUAGAGAUGCAAUUUAAAAAAAAAAAAAAAAAAGGCAAAAAUGGGUAUCUUAUUUUUGUCUGUUGGCUCACAAAACCUGCAUGAACACGAGUUUUAUGUGUGUGAAACUGCCAAAUUGGAGCCAGGGUAGAAACUCUCAAGGGUCUGAAUGUUGAGCAAAAGAGAUAGAUGAAACAGCUGAGUUACUGAACUGAGAAACAUAUGUGCUGUACUUACACAUUUACCAGCGCUCUAAAGAUUUUCUGAUAUGUGGCUGCUCUCUUGAAAAUUAUUUACAUGGCAUUCUGGAGUUGUUCCCACAGAUAUGAUUCCAUUUUGAUCUGCCAAUUACAUUAUGUGCUGUUGCAAAGAAGUUUGUAAAUGAGUCUUUGUUCCUUAGAUGGAAAGCGUUUUGAAGGAGUUCUACCAGCCUGAUGGUAAAUCAUGAACGUCAAAAAUGAGGCUGUCUAAAAAUACAUUAGAGGUUGAUGUAAACAUUGCUGGUAUCAGAGGAGAUGGUUCCCAUCAACUUUUGGGAAUGCUGAAUCUGAUGUCCCUUUACAUACACCAAGUUGCUCAGGACAGACCUCCUCCUUCAUGAUGCCCAUGGAAAUCACUGCAGAUUUGACAGCUCUGGCUCCUGGUAACUCCUGUGGGCUCCUCGAGUCCAUAGCAAGGACAGCUGCCCAAAGCCAAGGUUCACCCUCAUGGGAGGUGGGUACAGAAAAAAAGUCUGCUGUUCAGCUGGACCAGGAAGAGAAGUGGAGAAGUUUUCAGUGGCAUUUUCAGAGGUGUUUCACAGCCAGGAGUGUUACAGGAGUGGAAGACCUUGUGCUUUUGAUAAGUCUGUGCCACAGUGGGAUUCUGGCAUCCCUUAGAUGAGACAAGCUUCGAAGGACAUUGCUAACCUCCAUUAGAAGUGUUUAAUUCGUUCCCCCAUUACCUUCCAAAAAGAAUACUACAUAUGGAAGAUGAUGUUCCACUUUCUAAAAGAUUUCCUCUUCUGAUGCUGGUUGAGAAGUGUGUAACUAUGGACAGCACCUUCGGACUGUGAAGUGGUUCUUGCACCUGCUCUUUUCUUUGUUUUUGGAGUAGCCACGGGGGACCAAGGAGCAGAGCUCUUCCCUCCGUUCCCUCUGUGUUAUUCCAUCAUCUCCUGUAAUUUUGCUGUCAGCAUUUGUUCUGCCACACAACAGCCUGUGACUGUCCUGCAGACCUCAGGGGAGCAUCCCUGGUACCCACAGCUUUUUUCCCGUCUGCUGGCAAAUUAUAGCAUGGUGCUUGCUCUGAAAAGUUAUAUGACUGGGAUUAUACAUUUACAGUUCCCCAAGCUGUACACCGUGUGAUUAAUAGAAUUAUUUACUUAUUUAUUAUGAUGAAAUGCACUGCAAUAUGUUUGCAAGACGGACCAGAUCCAAAACCCACUGAAGACGCCCAUGAGCCCUGAGGAAUCACAUUGCCUUGCAGCCACUGUACAGCCAUGAAAACCAGCUGAAAACAAAACCGAGCCUCUUCGGAGAAAGCCCCACAAGUGACCUCUUCAGCAAAGUGGACAAAGAUUUACAUUGGCUUCUCUUCUCCCCGGCUAUCACUUACACUACAUGCACACUGUUGUUCCUCCUGCCUGUGCCAUUGUACUUCCCUUCUAACCUGUUUUCAACCUGCAAAGGCUUUUGCAAGGAAGUCAGCACGCAGCAAUGGGAUAGAGACGUUCCUGCUCAGCACUGGAACUUCUGGAGAUGAUAAACACAAGCAACUCAUCCCCAGCUCCAUCCUGAGCACCUUCAGCAUUGCCACUCAGCACCUCAAAAUUGUGUGCGUCCAAUGCCAACUGCCCACCAUGGCAAAGGAACAAGACAUUUGCUCCAAGUUUCAGUGUUAAUAAAGAAGGUGAAUCUUUCACACCAGUGGUUGCAGAUGUCAUGCACUUGCCUCCUGCUAUUUGGAUCCACUGUGCUGCAGAGAGUGAACCAGGCAAACCCACCUGUAGAGGAGGGCAGGGAAAGUGAAAUCCCGAGCACCAAGCAGAGUCUUGCUGGAGACCACCGAGGAGACACAGCAUCAGCAAUUGCUGACAAAGCCCAUUGCACCAUCAGAACCAAGCCAAGGAUGAAAGAACGUGACACCAAUCUGUAUUUCCAGCAACCUUUGUUGGAAAGGUGGUCUGCGCUCAUGAAUACUGUUGUUAUACCUACAGCCCCCAAAGAGCAACCUACUUGAGCUGUGACAGAGCUGCUCAUAUAACCAAGGGUAUAUGGUUAUGUAGCCUGUCUGGGGAUGUAAGCACAUUUACCUGUAGACUAAAGGAGAUGACCGAAUCCUUGUAAAUGAGCACAAAACAUCGCGAUGCCUAUGCCUUCAAACACCAAAGGAUGAGCAUGAACAGUGUCUCUAGAGCCACUCCAGACUCUAGACACUCAGCACUAGGUGUCCUGUGCUGAGAUACGACUACUGCUACUGACCACAGCUCACGUGCACGUGUCACAGGACCAGUCAAGGUCGUAAACUUAAGCAUAUUUAUAUCUCUUGGUAGGAACAGAGCUGUAAUUAUAUUUUGGGUGUUUCUUGCCUUCUUCAAUUGCUGCCAGUGCUGCUUGUUUGCUACAGCGUAACCCGUGGCAUAUUUUAUAGGUUUUCAACCUUUGCACACAAUGGAUUAGAAAGAAAGUCAAUUAUGCAUAAGAUUGAAAGAGUUAUGUAAAUAUAAAACCAAUAUAAUGUAUUAUUUACAUACAGCCUGUACUUACCCUAAGUAACUUCUGCAGAAACCUGGGCUAUCACAAACAGCUCACACCUAAUUUCUGAGCCCUAUUCCAGAAAAGAGGGGAGGAUUCUGGCUACCUUAAAUCAGUGCUAAUAUUUUCUAGAUGAGAGCAUAUUUGUAUAAGAACAUAACUCAACAUAACACGGAUGGACAACAAGCAGGAUAAAUCUCUAUCAUUUAUUACAUUUGCUGAGCGAUCAAAGGUGUCUAACUAGACAUUUUUCCUCAUUGGUUGUUUGCAUUAGAUAUGCAAAUCUCCUUUCUUGCAGAGCCAUUUCUGAAUAUAUUUGCGAGGCUAUUGAUGUCCAUUACUUCACUUAAAUAUAGAUCAGAAAUACUGACAAAUAUUUUCAUUCAAAGAGUUUGAUCAUUUUCAGAUUACUCUCCAUGCUAGUAAUUAACCUCAGUCAACACCCUUCCAUAGCACUUUCAAACACAGUUCCUAGCAAACAUAAAGUUUCAUAAAUAUGUACUAAAUAACCUUAAAGCCCUUUAUGAAUAAUUAUGAGUUUUUAAGUUUUUGUGAAUCUGCAUAUUAAUUCCACGCCAUAAAUAAUACAUGAAGCAAAAAUCCAGCUUGUUUGGUGUCUGGGGACAGAGAAAGAAAAGGAGGGGAUAAUUAUCAGUUUAAUGUGGGAAAAUACUUAACCUAAAAGAUUAUCUUCAAAACUGAUGACUCUAUAGGUUUGUAUAUACGUGUGUGUAUAAAUACAUAUAAGUAUAUAAAAUAUACGUGUAUGAAGAUAGGUUUGUCUGCAGAUACGCAUCCAGCCUGAGAAAGCCUUAAUUUGAGGCAUGUUACAUUCCUGUCUCCUCUGUGCCAUGCUGAGCUCUUCAAGUGCAAAGUGAUGCGAUGAGCUCAGCCUCCACACAACCCUUCUUUCUAUAAACGUAUGUUCCCCCAAAGGUAGAAAAUUAAUGAGAGGCUGCUGACUAAAAUUACUACAUUUUGCCUUCUGUGGGACAUUAUGGAUUUAAAAGAUAAGCAAGAGUGCAGCAAGUCCAAAAACAAUUUCAUUUCGUUAAUCCUUUAAGUGCCUCGGGAUGAGCAGCCCAUGUCCAGCAAAGGUGAUGCUUCUGCAUGCCUAUUGCACAGCAGUACUUGCACACUCUGCUUCUCGGCUCCACAUGGAAGGCAUCCAGUGGGGUGGGAUGAUGUAUGGCUGAAUGGUCUUAGGCUGACACUUCCUGGAUGCUCGCUGACAGUAAUAGGAAACGUAAGCGGUGUGCAGAGACAGCUCGUAGGUAAAGCAGGGAGUGUGAAUAGGAUUUUUCCUCUUUAUUCCGUACAGCUUACAGCAAAGAAAAGGCAUUUUCUGCUCAAAUGUCUUUGAACAAAACAAAGUGGAAACUAUUAUGUUUCAAAACCAGGACCCGGGAACAUAUUCCAUGUUUGCCUUUGUCAAAGGAGUACAACGAUUUAUAGUUUGGGAAGAAAAUCAUUGCAUUCCAAUUUUAUAUUUUUCAAUAAGUGACUCCAUUUAUUUUUUACAUAUUAAUCCACCUCCAUAAUGAAAAUAGAUUUCACUUCUCAUUUCAAGUCCUUCAGAUCUAUUUCACUUCCCGGUCAUGCUCAGCGCUUGGCUAGGAGAAUGAAAGGCAGUAUUUCAAAUAAUAGCAACUCAAUAGCAAGCCUGUUCUCUUGGUUUUAAUGCAGAAAGAAGAAAAGAUAAACCAAAUUUGUACAAGAAUCUUCAGAGAUAGGAGCACUCCCUUGUUCUGACGCCAUUUCCCAGCCCUGCAGCAUCAGGAGAGCAGUGCUGUUGGUGCGGGGGUGCUGCCGGGAGCAGGGUGAGGGGCUGGGGAUAGGAUCCCACAGAAGCGACUGAAUCCAAAGCUCAACUUAAGACUGCUCAGAAAGAUUCCAGGAGGGGGUGAGGGGCUGCUGGAGGUGCCGGCAGCACUGUCUCGUCACGGCAGCCUGCUAAUUAACCGUGAUGGGUUUUAAAGCCUCAGCUGGAAGCAGCUUCUGGAGAAACGGAUGGAGCACCCAGGUUUGUUUUGUAUCCAAAAAGGGGGACACAGAGUUGAAAAGAAUUGUUGUAAAGGCCUGCAUCAGUGUUAUUCUGCAUCCGUCUGCUUUGCGUACCGUUUGCUAGGAAUUUAUAAAGUAACAUACAUUCAGUAUGAAGGAAAAAAAAAAAACAAACAACAGAUCUUUAAAAUAUUGAACUGUGGCUGCUGUGCCUCGUGGAAAGGUACAGGCUUCUCGUCCGGGAGUUGCAUUGUGUGGAUGCAAACCUGUUGAUGAGUGGUUUAAGCUAAUUCUCAUUUAUACUGGACUCAUAAAUCCAUAAACUUUGGUAAGAACUCAGCUGCAGCCGAUGUUAUUGGUUGAACUGUUUUCAUCUGAAGCCCAUUCUGAAUCCCCAACAAAAAUAGUAGGCCAGAUGCCCAGACAGCAGCUAGAGACCCUCAUUAGGCAUCAUUUGCAUCCUAUUAACCACUGAGCUGUGGGUCAUUCGCUGCCUGUCAACCAUUCAAGUCAUUCCUUUUGUGUUAAUUAGUAGAGAAAUAAGGAGUUAAUGAAGAUCUUAUGAUCUGUGAUGAUUCAUCUUUGUUGUUUCAAACGAAUCCCUGCUCUCCGAGCACCCCAAUGAGCUCCUGCACACCGAAUAAUAGAGGAAUAGUGGAGGGAGCUUAGGGCGGCCUUUGGAGUGCCAUUCUCUGGGGACCUUUUGCAUGGUGGGCUUUGUUAGCUAAAGAUUAGAAGGAGUUAAUUGCUUCAAGAUUGCUCGCAGAUUAGGUUACAUGGUGUGUUGUAUCUAUGUAAGCAUAUGUCAGGUCUAGUUAAAAGAUAGAAGAUGCUUAUUUUAAUAAAAUUAUGAAAGGAAGAAUUAAUUUGUCAUUAUUGUAGAAAUCUUAUUUCUACCCUUAAUUUGAGCACUUUCAGAUAAAUGCAGGGCUGGUUUCCGUCUCAUUUUCCUGCUCCAAAUGGGAGGGUCCCAGUUUUCCUGCCCAUUCUGGGGACAGCACAGCAUGGCUGUGGAAAGACACAGAUGGAAAACCCAAAUCAACAGACAAGCAGUAAGAGCAGCUCUUCUUCUUUAGGAAUUUUCUUUAGGAAGAAAUGAUUCCUCUUUCCACGCUAGUUCUGGUGAACACAUUCUCACAUCCAGCAAGCUGACAACAAAGUUCCACAACAGGGGUGAUGAAAUGCACAGACCUUCAUGGCCUGGCUAUAUAAGAAGACACCAGAAGUGAAAUAUACUUGGCUGUAGACCAUAGUAGGUUGAGAAGGAGCACCUUCUUGCUGUAGAGGGUUGCUGCUCUUCUUACCAUGGUGGCAAUAACCUCCAGAGAGCUGAGCUCCAGCAGUUGGCCUACUGAGGAGAGUCUGUGUAACCACUGCUCCUCCUCCACCUCCUCGCUGGAUUUAUGAAUGGCGCCAAGUUCUCCUGAGAAGCCAACGCCUUCCUUUUAUUAAAAGUAAAGAAACAAAAGAAUCUCCAAACUGAAAUUAAUUAUUCAGAUUUGCCAAAUAUUGGGAAGGUUUUUUAUUUAGACUUUUUUUUUUCUUCUGCCUGUACAUCUAUCGGAUGGAAAAUUAAAAAAAAAUUAAUUAUUCAGCUCUGUACUGAAGUGUCAGUGAAUGCUGAGGUGGUUCAGCAAGGAAGAACGGCCUAAAAGAGAGGUAAGGAUCUGUGCAAAGUGUUUGGGAGAAAUCCUGAAAAACUGUUUGUGAUUCACAUCUCCCAGGUGGUAAACAGAAGCUCAGUGCACCCCCUUGGCUUGUACAGAGGUUUUGCACUGCCCAACUGGUCAGUGAGGAUGGAGGAGAUGCUGUGAUGGGGUGCUGGGAUGCUGUGCAGGACGCUGGGCAUCGUGCAAAGCUGUGGCAGUGCUGGUGCUGGGAUCCUGCUGUCACCUAUAAGGAGGAGGAGUGGAGCCAGCGCUUUUCCAGGCAGAACCACAUGGCCAGUGACAGAAGGAUCAUUGUAGCAUUUACUGAAUAACUGCUUGGAUGAUUCAUUACAUUAAAAUCCCUCUCCACUUUAAUUGCUCUAAAUGAAGAUACAGUUCACGCUGUUUGGAUGUUAAAGGGAAAACACCCUACCCUGCCACAGUGCGUGUGCACCGGAGGAAAAAUGAGAGACCAGCACAAGAGGUGAGGAAAGAGAUGUGACUGUGACUGUGUGGCUUCAGAGACGGAAUGGGGAUGUAAUUGGAGGCACUGCAGAGCCACAGGGAGAUGGGCUGUGAGCAGAGCCCCAGCCUGCACUGCUCAGGUCCCAUUCAAAAAGCAUCAUGCCUAAAGAACUGCAGGCAGGACCACUCCUCGAGCAUCUCCUUAAGCCCAUCCCAGGUUUCAGUGGUAGCAUUGGCAGCCAUAGGGUUGUUUUUUUUUUUUCAACAUCAAUCAGAAGACAGAUUUUUCAUGGGGGCAGAAGGGGGGGGACAAGAUAGAGAGAGAGAAGAGGAAAAAAAAUAAGCAGAAGUAAUUUAUUCGGGAUCUUUGAGAGGAUAAUAGCCAAUUAUUUGUUUAUAACACUGGUUAAAUUUUCAUUAGGCAGAUUAAUGGAAUAUCAUGUACUGUCAACAUUGGACUGAGGGGUGGUCUGUAAGAGAUAAACGGGCAAACAGUCGGUGUGUCUCCCUGAGUAAAUUAGUUUUUGCUUUCCUGUUUUUCAUAUGAAAAUGGAAAGGUGGACAAGGUGGUGCAUUUUAAAACAGGUCUCAAGAUGGGCCAAAUCAGUUAAAUAUGAAAGCAAUUCUGGUAAUAAAUACAUUAUAAUAACUUAGCAUCGUGCCUAUCAUUUUGAUUUCAUGAAAGUCUGGGAUAAUGUAGAUUUUUAACCUGCUCUCUUAAUACACAUUUCCUCUUCCUGAACUUCAGCGUUUCUUGCUGUGAGGUGAAAGCAUAUUACUUUUUUUUGCCUGAUUUUCCUGUGUAAUCUGUUCGGUAUUACAGCUGGUAAGUGCUAGAGGCUCACAGCUCUUUCUUGUGAAUUCUGGUAUUAUCAUCCUGGAUAGCAUGAACAGUCCCCUCUAAGUACUGUAUUAUCAGCAUCAGAACCCCUGAGUGGUUAUGGUUGCAUAUCGUGCUCUUUUGAAGUCAGAAUAUUUCUACAACACUAAACAUAUUAGCCUGGGAUUUUCAGACAAGCCACAGAGAGGCAGACACCCAAAUUUCAGCUGGAGUUGGGCCCAGACAUCCACUUAACCUCUUUGAAAAUCUCAAGUCCUUUUGCCCAAGAGGCCAAGUGGAUGUCUCCUCAGCCUCACCACCAGCAGUGGCACGGCCCAGGCAGGUGGGAAGAAGUCUUCCCCAGCAAGCCCAGGGCUCUGUGGGACACUGUGAAGUGUGGAGAGCCCAAAUGCAUUCCAUCCAGGCUUGGCCAUUAAUGAUUACAGAGCACUAAAAAGGCCUCUUGCUAUGGGGAAUGGAAAAAACAUUUAUUUCUGAUGAUAGAUGACUAUGGCAGUGCCAGGAUGGAGUCUGCUUGCGGUCAAGCUGGGGAAAUUUUCUCUUUUUGGUCCCAAGUCAGCUUGGUUUUGAGGCUGAAAAAUGCUUCCAAGUGUAAAAUUCAUUCUUACACUUCUCUAUCCAUCUCUACAAAAAAAAAAAAUGACCUGACAUUUUGUUUGUGAAAUCCCUAGGUACAUACACAGUGCUAAUAAAUAUUCUUAGGCAUGAUAUGGGGAUGACUCACAUGUACAUGUUACCCUGACCUCAUCAGAACAUCUGUAAAGGAAACAUAGCUGAGCAUUAAGUAACAGUUCAUGGCACUGGUCUGAAACAGUGCUGCUUGGCUUUGUUGUUCCAGCCUUUUUCAAAAUCCUCCUCUCAUACAUUUGUAGACCUACCCUUGGAAGUCAGUGUUCACCAUUUCCACUAGCCAGCAGGCGCAGUGCACUCUUCUGCUGCUGCAGAACAUGGUACUUUGCCAAGUGCCAGUAUUGGCACAGGCUGCUCAGGGAAGUGUUCCAUCCCUGGAAGUGUUCAAGAGCUGUGGAGAUGAGGGAUGUGGUCAGUGGGCAUGGUGGGAGUGGGCUGGUGGUGGUUGGACUUCUGUAUGAGCUUAGAGGUCUUUUCUAACCUAAUGAUUCUGUAAUCCUAUCGUAUGAUAGAUUUUUUUUUUUUUUUUCCCAAGAAAGAGAUGUUAAUUAACACAUAGAAGGUGUUUCUGGUCUAUAAACAACUUGUAAAUUAUUGAUGACUUUAACUUUGUUUAAUUCUCCUCCUGAAAGUAUACCAGUCCUGUUUUCAAAGCAACCAGGAGUUCAGUUGCUGAGAAUGAUAGGUGGGGCUUUGCUUGCUGUACGGACACAGUCACCCAGUCCUGCAGGGAACUCUGACGUACAGGAAUGGUUUUCACUUUGAAUGGGGACAAAGGUCAAAGCUGUGACAUUGGAAUUUCAUUUUAAAAAUGUUUUGUUUUUAAGACUGCAAAAUGGCCACUUUAAAAUAUUCCACUUUGAUCAUGCCAGAAUGUUAUAAGAAAAGCAGACAUAUUUUAAAUCGUACACACAUAUUGUAAAUUGUACGGUUAAAGAUGAAAUGGUCUGAAGAAAUUGAACUGAAGCAAAAUAAAACCAGAGUUCUUAGUGAAACAUUCCCCCUGAAUUUGAGCCUGUUUUUAUCAAACUAAAUUUUUUUAAAAUCUCAGUUUUGAUGGAAAAGCAUUUUAUGAUUGGAAAGCCCCUCUGAAAAAAGUCAGUAAAAGUUAUUGGAUCAUUGGGUUCACCAUGCUGAAAAACACUUACACACUACAGAGAAGGUUUUUUUCUGAUAUAACCACACUCACUACUAGAAUCCAUUCAUUUCAAGGAUUCUUAUAUCCCUUUAAUUACGUCUGCGUAAAGGCAGCAUAAAUGAGAUCAAAACAAAUCGCUGGCAGUAAUGAUCUAUGAACUAUGCUGAAUGCUGUCCUGAAGUACAUCAUUGUCUAUUUUUAUUCUAUUGUUUUUUAUUUUGAGUUGUUGCAGUGGUGCAGGAUCUGUGCUGGCAUCUCCAAGGAGUUAGAAUGUCUGCUAGCAAAGUUACGGACGUCUGUAAUGGAUGGGAUUAUCUCUACUACUCAUCAGUGCAGAAAGAAUAGCACUAAUAACGCAAGUAAAUUCUCAUCUUGCAGAUGUUUUUCUGUUUCAUCUUGGAAGUGAAUCUGUUCACUCAUAAAUCUUGCUUUGCCUUAAAAAAAGAAAAAAAAAAAGGAAGAAUUAGUAUUCUAGCAAGUCCUCUCCAUGGAAUGGCAUUCAUCAUUUUCAUCAUAAGCG
rnacentral:lncRNA from 1 species